rnacentral:rRNA from 1 species
GCAUAUCAAUAAGCGGAGGAAAAGAAACCAACAGGGAUUGCCUUUAGUAGCGGCGAGUGAAGCGGCAAUAGCUCAAAUUUGAAAUCUGGCACUUUCAGUGUCCGAGUUGUAAUUUGAAGAAGGUAUCUUUGGGUCUAGCUCUUGUCUAUGUUUCUUGGAACAGAACGUCACAGAGGGUGAGAAUCCCGUGCGAUGAGAUGUCUAGAUCUAUGUAAAGUUCCUUCGAAGAGUCGAGUUGUUUGGGAAUGCAGCUCUAAGUGGGUGGUAAAUUCCAUCUAAAGCUAAAUAUUGGCGAGAGACCGAUAGCGAACAAGUACAGUGAUGGAAAGAUGAAAAGAACUUUGAAAAGAGAGUGAAAAAGUACGUGAAAUUGUUGAAAGGGAAGGGCUUGAGAUCAGACUUGGUAUUUUGUAUGUUACUCUCUCGGGGGUGGCCUCUACAGUUUACCGGGCCAGCAUCAGUUUGAGCGGUAGGAGAAUUGCGUAGGAAUGUGGCUCGGCCUCGGUCGAGUGUUAUAGCCUUCGUCGAUACUGCCAGCUUAGACUGAGGACUGCGGCUUCGGCCUAGGAUGUUGGCAUAAUGAUCUUAAGUCGCCCGUCUUGAAACACGGACC